AACGAACGCUGGUGGCAUGCCUAACACAUGCAAGUCGAACGAGAUCUUCGGGUCUAGUGGCGCACGGGUGCGUAACGCGUGGGAAUCUGCCCUUUGGUUCGGAAUAACAGUUGGAAACGACUGCUAAUACCGGAUGAUGACGAAAGUCCAAAGAUUUAUCGCCAGAGGAUGAGCCCGCGUAGGAUUAGCUAGUUGGUGUGGUAAGGCGCACCAAGGCGACGAUCCUUAGCUGGUCUGAGAGGAUGAUCAGCCACACUGGGACUGAGACACGGCCCAGACUCCUACGGGAGGCAGCAGUGGGGAAUAUUGGACAAUGGGCGAAAGCCUGAUCCAGCAAUGCCGCGUGAGUGAUGAAGGCCUUAGGGUUGUAAAGCUCUUUUACCCGGGAUGAUAAUGACAGUACCGGGAGAAUAAGCUCCGGCUAACUCCGUGCCAGCCGCCGCAGUAA
rnacentral:rRNA from 1 species